AUAUCAAUAAGGCGAGGAACAGAAACCAACAGGGAUUCCCCCAGUAGUGGCGAAUGAAGCGGGAAAAGCUCAUAAUGAAAAUCGGGUGGCUCAACAGUCAUUCGAGUUGUAAUCUAAAGGCUUGUUUUCUGCGUGUGACCCGGGUAUAACUCUUUUGAAACAAGGGAUCAUAGAGGGUGAAAAUCCCGUCCAUGACCCGGAGUUCGCCGCGUACGAUACAUGUCCAAAGAGUCGAGUAGCUUGGGAUUGCUGCUCAAAAUGGGUGGUAAACCUCAUCUAAAGCUAAAUAUUGGCCAGAGACCGAUAGCGCACAAGUA
rnacentral:rRNA from 1 species